GAACAUCUUUGGUGAAUCUUCUUUCAUCGGAGGGACAUAAAUCUCUCAGAUUUUUAUUAAAAUAUCUCAGCUUUUCUUUUGAAGAUGAACGAAAGUCUUAGAUGGUUUGGAGCAUCUUAAGGGUGAGUGAUGACAGAAUUCAAAUUGUUUUGGGGGAACUAUGAAAUUAAUUAGAAAAUAUAGCGGUAUGUUCUUAUUUUUACCAGCUUCUGCAAGCGCGUAUGGCGUCUGGCUUUUGGAACCUCACUGUGACUUCAGAUAAGAACAAAGAUUAAAUUGUAAGAAGGGUUGCUUAUAUGAGAGCAUACAGUACAUCUGAAACUGCUGAGGCUGGGAAGGCUUUUGACUAUAUUACCGACCAGAUCAGCUGCUAUAGAAGACAAACUGAAAUCUGAGUGCAGAGACAAGCAAAGGAAUACUGCAAGGCUCUGGUGCAAAAUAUUGUAUGCCAGGAGUCAGGACGACUAGGCUGUGCCCAGGUCUCCAGAACCUGCGACGACGCUCAGCUCCAUCAGCCCUCCA